rnacentral:lncRNA from 1 species
AAAAAGGAAAAAGAAAAGGAAGAAAGAAGAAAAGACUAGAAGAGAAGAAGAACCAAUUUCUUCAAUCCUCCUUCCUCUGCCGUGAACCAAAACAAAAUCCCCUUCUCCAUCUUUUCUCUUCUACACCAAAAUUCCUUCAAAUUUCCAUCUCCAAUCACUUACCCAUCUUCUCCCAACACAUUUUCAAAGUAGAAUUUGAAGAAAAGAAGAGAAAUCAAAGAGAAAAUUCAAGAUUGAGGGAGAGUGAAUAGUAACCAAGGGUUUGGAAAUUUAAAGAUAUGUUAGGGGUUUUGAUGUAGGGAUGUUUCUUAUUAUUUUUAUAUGAAUAUUUAUGAAAAAUAUUGUAUUAAUAUGAUUUAUUGGUUUAUUUUUUUUCAUGAAGAAGAAGUGAAAGGGAAGAGUGGAAACUCUAAAGGAAAAGGAAAAGAAAAAGAAAAGGAAGAUUAGGAAAUUUUAAGCUUGUGGAAGAUUUUGAAAGGUUAAGGUUUGUGCUCAACUUUAUUUGAGUAAAUUUAAGAAUUUGUUAAUUAUGUUCUAUUUGAAAAUUUUACUACCCUAGUAGAAAUAGACCAAGUGAAUAAUAGUUUAAUUAUAUUGUAUAAUCCAAGUUUGAGAAAUAAUAGAUUGAAUAAAUAGAAAAUUUUAAAAUUCAUAUGUAAUUUAAACAAAAUUUAAGUGAUGGAUCUAAUGAAAUGACUCUAUUUUCUUUGAUAGAAAUAUAAUUUGGUUAGAUAUAGUAUUAAUAAAAAAAAUUUAGUAGACUAAAAAAAAGGAGAGAAAUUAGAUUAGAUGAAAAAAAAAACAUAAUAGAACUGACAGGAAUCAGAAAAGUGAGAUAUAGUGUAAAUAUGAUGUUUAAAAAUAAUAAUAAUUAAAAAAAGAAUAAUAGUUAAUUAAUUAAGGAUUAAAUUAUGAAUUUGUAAUUUAUGUAAUUGAAUUGAAUUCAUAGAUUCAUAUGAUAUGACAAUGUUUAAAAGUAAUGUUUAAAAGUAGAGUUAUAAUAUGAUACAAUAUUAUAGUUGAAGAAUUGAAAGUUAUACUGUAUUGGAAGUUUUUGUCCCCCUGUGUAAAUGUAUAAAUUAUUUAAAGUCUAGCCCUAGUAAGUUUGGUGGGAAUUGUGAGUUAGUUUAAGGGUGUGGCAUGCCAUAUACAGAUUUUGCAGUACUGCACUACAGUUACACUGAUUUUUAGGAUGCAAUAAGGUACCUGUAACGACCCGAAAAUCGGACCGCUACCGGCGCUAGGAUCCAGAUCGGCUUAAGGCCGUCGGGACCCGUAGCAAGCUUGACAUAUAACCUGUAAACCUGUAUAAUCCCAUACAUGAUCAACAACAUGCAUAAAAAUUUAAACUUUUCUUUCAUUCAUCCAACUCAACCUGAACAUAGUUACAAUCAUAAACAUGAUCCCUCUGUGGGAUCUCAUCAAUGCCCCAACGGGCGAUACAACAUGAGAGAGAACUGAAGAUGAUUGAGUUUGAGCAACUGAGGCAGUCAGAGCACAUGGGUGUAGAUGAGUUUUAAGAAUUUAUCCGUGAACUCCUCUACACCCAUGUGCUCUGACUGCCUCAGUUGCUCAAACUCAAUCAUCUUCAGUUCUCUGGAAUUGUCUGGAAAAGCCCAUCCAGCGAACUCAUUCGCAAAUUCUUCCCAUGUCAUACCGUCUAGUCUCGGGUCCACAUAACACUUGAACCAUUCCCGUGCCUUCUUGCACUUUAAAGUGAACCCUGCCAUCUGAAUGGCCCUGCUGUCACUUGCCCCUAGCUCAUCAGUUAUUGUCUUCACCACUCUCAGAUACUCAAAGGGGUCAUCCCCUGACUUGUAUUUGGGAGCAUCCAGCUUGAGGUAAUCUGUCAUCUAUAGGUACCCUACAGUUAUAGACUCAGCUUUUGAGCCAUACAAUUAUUUGGCACUUUGUGCCCUACAGUUACAGUUUCCUUAUCUGACUUAACAGUCCCAUUUAAAUUUAUAGGGGCCAACAGAAAAAUAAUAUAUAAAUAAAAAUACUAAGAGAAAAUAAAACUUUUUACAUGAUGAAGAAAAAGAAAAGGAUUAUGAAAUUAAAAUAUGUAUAUAUAUGUGAAUUAAUAAUAUGAUUUAGAUUAUUUCAAAUUAUUUGUUAUAUAGUUAUUUGUUAUUUGUUUGAAUUACUGUUAUUACCUGAAUUUUGAUUUAAAUGUUUUAUUUAUAAAAAAAAAAAUGAAGUUGAGUACCACUAAGCAAAUUGCUUAGCGCGUAUGAAUUUAUUUUUCCUCGCACAG